rnacentral:rRNA from 1 species
UACGGAGGGUACAAGCGUUAAUCGGAAUUACUGGGCGUAAAGCGCACGUAGGUGGUUUGUUAAGCUAGCUGUGAAAUCCCCGGGCUCAACCUGGGCACUGCAGUUAGAACUGGCAAGCUAGAGUAGGGUAGAGGGGUGUGGAAUUCCAGGUGUAGCGGUGAAAUGCGUAGAUAUCUGGAGGAACAUCAGUGGCGAAGGCGACUUCCUGGCCUGUUCUUGACGCUGAGGCGCGAAAGCUAGGGGAGCAAACGGG